rnacentral:misc_RNA from 1 species
GCAUAAUCCAAACCAGAGCUUAUUGCUGAACCAAUAUUCAGGUUGGUUAUUCCACUUAAAAGCCACACAUAGAGGCAUCAAAUAAUCCUCAAAACUUCCAACUGAAUGCAGAAUCUGUCAAUUCAAAAUUUCUAUAAAAAAGAAAAGGAGAGUAUGAGUGGAGAAGGAAAAGUGGUGUGUGUAACAGGAGGUUCAGGUUACAUAGCUUCAUGGCUGCUCAAGUUUUUGCUUCAGCGUGGUUAUACAGUUAAGGCUACUGUGCGUGACCCAGAUGAUCCUAAGAAGACAGAGCACUUACGUGCUCUUGAUGGAGCAAAAGAAAGACUUCUCUUGUUCAAAGCAAAUUUACUGGAAGAAGGAGUUUUUGAUGCGGUUGUUGAUGGAUGUGAAGGUGUAUUUCACACAGCUUCUCCUGUUAUUCGUUCAACAAAUGAACCUCAGGCAGAAAUUCUUGAACCUGCAAUAAAGGGAACCCUAAACAUUCUCAAAUCAUGUGCAAAAUUUCCUUCCGUGAAGAGAGUUGUUUUAACAUCUUCAAUACUAACAGUAAUGCGCAAAGGACAAGUUCUGGCCUCUGAUGUGGUAGUUGAUGAGACUUGGUUUGCAGAUCCAGCUUUUUAUCAGGAAAAUAAGCAUUGGUAUGCUCUUUCAAAAACCUUAGCUGAAGAUGCUGCUUGGAAAUUUGCAAAAGAAAAUGGAAUUGACUUGGUAACAAUGCAUCCAGGAUGGGUGAUUGGUCCUCUCUUGCAGCCAACUCUCAAUCUCACUGUGGAGAUGGUUCUGAACCAUAUAAAAGGAUUGGAAACAUUUCCAGAUGAUAUUGACAGGUUUGUUGAUGUUAGAGAUGUUUCUAAUGCACAUAUUCAAGCAUUUGAAAAAGCUUCAGCUAGUGGCAGAUACUGUUUGGUUGGAAAACUUGGACACAUCUCUGACUUAGUGAAGAUUGUGCAUGAACAUUACCCUACAUUGCUCCUUCCUGAAAGAUGUGAAUACAGCAAGCCUUUUGUGCCAGAAUAUGAGGUUUCCAAGGAGAAAGCUAAAGCUUUGGGCAUAGACUUCACUCCUUUAGAGGCUACUGUGAAGGACACCAUUGAAAGCUUGAAGGAGAAAGGCUAUCUUGAUGUCUGAAUAUUGUGAAUUUUUUCUUUCUUUUUUGGUACUUUUUGCAGCAGUUUACACAUACCGAGAUUAAAUAUUCAGAAUAAUGUGAUUUAUUCUGCCUUCCAAAUGCAAUAAUAGUAAAUUACAAGAUGUCUG